CGCUGACGAGUGGCGGACGGGUGAGUAAUGUCUGGGAAACUGCCUGAUGGAGGGGGAUAACUACUGGAAACGGUAGCUAAUACCGCAUAACGUCGCAAGACCAAAGAGGGGGACCUUCGGGCCUCUUGCCAUCGGAUGUGCCCAGAUGGGAUUAGCUAGUAUGUGGGGUAACGGCUCACCUAGGCGACGAUCCCUAGCUGGUCUGAGAGGAUGACCAGCCACACUGGAACUGAGACACGGUCCAGACUCCUACGGGAGGCAGCAGUGGGGAAUAUUGCACAAUGGGCGCAAGCCUGAUGCAGCCAUGCCGCGUGUAUGAAGAAGGCCUUCGGGUUGUAAAGUACUUUCAGCGGGGAGGAAGGCGACAGGGUUAAUAACCCUGUCGAUUGACGUUACCCGCAGAAGAAGCACCGGCUAACUCCGUGCCAGCAGCCGCGGUAAUACGGAGGGUGCAAGCGUUAAUCGGAAUUACUGGGCGUAAAGCGCACGCAGGCGGUCUGUCAAGUCGGAUGUGAAAUCCCGGGCUCAACUGGGAACUGCAUUCGAAAUGGCAGGCUAGAGUCUGUAGAGGGGGGUAGAAUUCCAGGUGUAGCGGUGAAAUGCGUAGAGAUCGAGGAAUACCGGUGGAAGGCGGCCCUGGACAAAGACUGACGCUCAGGUGCGAAAGCG
rnacentral:rRNA from 1 species